AGCGCAGUUGGUAGCGCGCUUCCUUCACACGGAAGAGGUCAUCGGUUCGAGUCCGGU
rnacentral:tRNA from 1 species